UUAGCCCCCACUAACAUCUUCUUAAUUAUCCAAUUUAAUACAUUACAGAAGGCAAACGGCAACAAUAUCAUCCUUGGGCAUAGUUUAAGAAAGCAGGCAAAUCCUCCUUUUAUGUUUUCAUCCUCCUCAAAAGGUUUGAUUACCAACACUAAUUUUAAUAAUCCAUAUGGUUCGUUCCGUUUUCAAAUCGUCUCUUAAUCUUCCUAAAUCUAUCUCCAUAUUAAAACCUUCUUGCUAAUUCUUGGAGUUGAGUAUGAGCUAGAAAUGGAGAUGGGCUCAUUCUUUUCUGUACUCAUUGGUGAGCAAUUUCAAGAAUUUGGGUCGUUAUUUUCAGCUAAAUACAACACCAAUGGUAAUCUUCUCCCUCCCAACUUCAUAAGUAAGUAGCCAAUCUUCUCCUUCCCAACUUCAUAAGUUUCAUAAGGUAUGUAUUAUGUUUUGAUGUUAGGUUUCUAUUUUGAUCUUCAUGAUUUGUAAUUGUCAUGUUUUUAAUUUGUAUUAAUCUUAAUUGAUUUUUGUGGCCUUUCAUAUCCUAAUUCUUCUUAUAUAUAUAAAAUAAUAGUGUUUUAUCAAGUCGAUAUUUAUAUACAGUGUGUUUGACUAAAAAUUUUAAAUGACUACCUCAUUUUUAGCAAAACGUCUUCCUUAUCUGUAGAUGUGGUUGGUUGUUUAUAUGGAAUCGGUGAUAUGGAAAGCUUGUGCGAACCGGGAAAAAGGGAAAGUCUACAUUGUUACAAAUUAGGUCCUAAACAAUGGGUAGCAGAAGUGCAAUUUCUGGGAGUGGUAGAUCACCCAAAUCUUGACAAACUUGAAUAUUGUGACGUUGGCUUAUUUGCAUGAAGAAUUGGAAGUUCAGCUCUCUGCUUUACUUUCUGACAUAGGGCUUAAUAUCCGAGAAGCUCAUGUUUUCUCAACAAUUGAUGGGUACUCAUUAGAUGUAUUUGUGGUGGAUGGAUGGCCUGUUGAGCUCAUCGUUGGGGCAAAGAACCAACUUUAUUGAGUCAGGCAAAGCAAUAGAACAUAAAUACAGGAUUGGAAAUCCAGAUUGCAGGUGUCUGAAUAUUAAAUAUACACUAAAUACAUUCGUUAUACAUCAAAUAUGUGGCCAAAAAUGCAAAAAUACAGAGUUGAGAAAAAUACAUGUGUCCGAGAGUAGGAUACAUGGAAAAAGCUGAUAUACAUUGAUAUACAUUCGAUGUAUACAAAAAUGAAAAUUUGGUUAAAGAUUAAAAAAAUUGCAGUGAAAUUGGCCCAAGAAGGGGCCCAUUUUCAUUC